CUGCUGAGCAGCCAGAGGCCCCCAGGGAGGUGCCCUGUGCUCAGGGUCUUCCCUCGAGACCGGUACCUUCAAGGAAGGUUGAUCUCAGGGCUGAGAGACCUGAGUGACUGCAGCAUCCCUGCGCUGGGCAGAGUGCGAGGUGUGGAUCCAGAGCUGUCCCAGGCUGCCUGGACCAGAACAGCUCCCAGAGAAGAGCACCAGGCUUACAUCUCCUGCAUACACCCCGCCAGAAUCGCACACGCUGCUGUUAUGGCCAGGAGCACCCACUGCCCUGUCCCCAGAGCCCUGCAGCAGGCUCCCCGUGAGGAACAACGUGAGGCCAGGUGCAAUUCGUGGGGCAGCAGCUCUCCCCUGGAUGAGCUACAGCCCUGGGUGAAAGGAGGAUAACUCUGUAUGGGCAAGGUCACCCAACUUCUGCUGCUAACGUGGGGCUUUGCCUCCGGCGAGCUCCUGCGGGCGUGCAAACUUGUGCUGAUCUUGCCGUGUGAGGAAUGCUCUUUUUGCAGCUUGAA